rnacentral:tRNA from 1 species
GGAGGGUCAAUCCGAUUGGCGACGGAACUUGUCUUGAAAACAAACGAGGUGUAAAAGCCCUUGGGGGUUCGACUCCCCCACUCUCC